GCCAACGUCGCAUAAUCUGGUAGUGCGCCGGUCUCGAAAACCGGUUCCUUACGGAAUUCCCGGUUCAAAUCCGGGCGUUGGCG
rnacentral:tRNA from 1 species